rnacentral:rRNA from 1 species
GGUUAAGAAAUUAAGGGCGCACGGAGAAUGCCUUGGUAGUAAGAGCCGAUGAAGGACGUGAUAAGCUGCGAUAAGCUAAGACAAGCUGCAAUGAAGCGUAAUAGUCUUAGAUUUCCGAAUGGGACAACCUACUAGUUUGAAGAACUAGUGUGGAAACGGGAACCGGAUGAACUGAAACAUCUAAGUAAUCCGAGGAAGAGAAAGUAAAAACGAUUCCCUAAGUAGCGGCGAGCGAACGGGGAAGAGCCCAAACCGAACAAGUGUGAUAGCAUGCAGGCGUUGCUUGUUGGGGGUAGUGGGAUACAGAGUAGCAGAUCUGCAAAGUCUGCGCUUGACUAACAGAGGUACUAGAAUGAACUGGAAAGUUCAACCGUAGAAGGUGAUAGUCCUGUAUAGGGAACUCAGAUUAGAGAGUCAUUGUAAUCCCAAGUAGCACGGGACACGAGAAACCCUGUGUGAAUCAGCGAGGACCAUAUCUCGUAAGGCUAAAUACUCUUACUAACCGAUAGUGAAUAGUACCGUGAGGGAAAGGUGAAAAGAACCCCGGGAGGGGAGUGAAAUAGAACCUGAAACCGUGUGCUUACAAGCGGUCAGAGCAGAGCCUUCGGGCGUGUGAUGGCGUGCCUUUUGGAGAAUGAUCCUGCGAGUUACGAUCAAUGGCGAGGUUAAGUAUAACGGAGCCGAAGGGAAACCGAGUCUGAAUAGGGCGAAUUAGUCGUUGGUUGUAGACGCGAAACCUGGUGAUCUAUGCCUGUCCAAGAUGAAGCUGUGGUAAGACACAGUGGAGGUCUGAACCCACCGUCGUUGAAAAGCCGGGGGAUGAGGUAGGUAUAGGGGUGAAAAGCCAAUCGAACCAGGAGAUAGCUCGUUCUCUCCGAAAUGCAUUUAGGUGCAGCCUUGAUUGUUUAAAUAUGGGGGUAGAGCACUGAAUGGUCUAGCGGGCAUAUUGCUUAGCGAAAUCAAUCAAACUCCGAAUACCAUAUUUCAAGAGAUCAGGAGUGAGACUAUGGGUACUAAGAUCCAUGGUCAAAAGGGAAACAGCCCAGACCACCAACUAAGGUCCCAAAUUAUAUCUAAGUGGGAAAGGAGGUGGAGAUUCUGAAACAACCAGGAUGUUGGCUUAGAAGCAGCCAUACAUUUAAAGAGUGCGUAAUAGCUCACUGGUCGAGAGUCUCUGCGCCGACAAUGUAACGGGGCUAAGAUAUAAACCGAAGUUGUGGAGUAUACACUAUGUGUAGACUGGUAGGAGAGCGUUCCGUAGGCCGUUGAAGGAUAAGGGGUGACCCAAUCUGGAGGUAUCGGAAGUGAGAAUGCAGGAAUGAGUAGCGAGAAAGAGGGUGAGAAUCCCUCUCGCCGGAAAACCAAGGUUUCCAGAGUAAAGCUUGUCUUCUCUGGGUAAGCCGGGACCUAAGCCGAGGCUAGAUUGCGUAGGCGAAUGGAAAGCAGUUUAAUAUUACUGCGCCACUAUAAUUUGUUUGAGAGAUGGAGGGACGCAGAAGGGUAUGUACGCAGACUGUUGGAUAUGUCUGUGUAAGCAUGUAGGAUGGAACCGCAGGAAAAUCCACGGUUUUAGAUCUGAGGUGUGAUGCGGAGUGUUUGUAAUGAACACGAAGGUACAAAUCCCACGCUGCCGAGAAAAGCUUCUAUUGAGAAUUACAGUGCCCGUACCGUAAACCGACACAGGUGGUUAGGAUGAGAAAUCUAAGGCGUACAGGCUAACUCUCGCUAAGGAACUCUGCAAAAUGGCCCCGUAACUUCGGGAGAAGGGGUGCCAUUAAAGGUGAUAGAAACACGCGUUCUUGAGCUUUUGAUGGCCGCAGUGAAGAGAUUCGAGCAACUGUUUAGCAAAAACACAGGUCUAUGCUAAGCUGAAAGGCGACGUAUAUGGGCUGACACCUGCCCAGUGCCGGAAGGUUAAGAGGAGGGUUUAGCGACUCAAAUUGAAGCCCCGGUGAACGGCGGCCGUAACUAUAACGGUCCUAAGGUGACAAUCGUUGCCUGCUCCGAUGGCAACAUCGGAGGCAAUACCUGACUGUAUGCGGGAACAUCCUUAGAGCCCAACCUACUCGAGCAGUCAUGCUCAGUAAAAAUGGAAGGGAUUGGACAAUCCGCAGGAAACCACACUAGUGGGAUCCUCAGAGACUACACGUCAGGUAUCCAGCAAGAAGAGGUUUAUCGAUGAAUCUGACACCAGACUGGGUGGUCGGGUUCGUGGAUGGCGAAGGUUGUUUCUAUAUUGGAAUCAACCCCAUGCCGGAAAUGAGCUUAGGCUACCAGGUCUUGCCCGAGUUCCGAAUCGUUCAACAUGAGCGUGAUAUUCAGGUCUUGUAUGCACUCAAGCGCUUCUUCAGGGCCGGCGUCGUCCGGGUCAACCAUGAAGAUCGUUAUGAGCUGCGCAUACGGAAACUGAAUAGCCUCAGAAACGUGGUCGUAUUCUUUCGCAAACAUUCGCUCAAGACGCGCAAACAUGUGGAUUUCACCAAGUUUGCCCGAAUUGUCGACUGGAUGUUAGAAGGAAAACACCUGGAGCUGGAAGGGCUGAUCAAGAUCAUCCGCUUAAGUUUGAGCAUGAAUCGGGCCCAAAAAAUUCGAGCCCAAGAAAUUUUGGCCGAAUUGGAAGCGCACAGCGCUGGAUAAAGAUAUAGUCCACUCGUCAUUGAAAGAUGGCGAAUAGAGUGAGCGAAAUUCCUUGUCGGGUAAGUUCCGACCCGCACGAAUGGUGUAACAACUGGAGCACUGUCUCAACGAGGGACCCGGCGAAAUUGAAGUCGCGGUAAAGAUGCCGCGUACACGCAGUAGGACAAAAAGACCCCGUGGAGCUUUACUAUAGCUUGGCAUUGCAUUCGGGCUUAGUUUGUCUAGCAUAGGUGGGAGGCUGUGAAACUGGAGCGCUAGCUUCGGUGGAGCCGACCGUGGAAUACCACCCUUGCUAAGUUUGAGUCCUAACCCCUGACCGUUAUCCGGCAGGGGGACAGUGCCUGGUAGGUAGUUUGACUGGGGCGGUCGCCUCCUAAAAGGUAGCGGAGGCGCCCAAAGGUUCCCUCAGGCUGAAUGGAAACCAGCCAUAGAGUGUAAAGGCAUAAGGGAGCUUGACUGCGAGACAUACACGUCGAGCAGAGACGAAAGUCGGGCUUAGUGAUCCCACGGUACCGAGUGGAAGGGCCGUGGCUCAUCGGAUAAAAGCUACCCCGGGGAUAACAGGCUAGUCUUGCCCAAGAGUUCACAUCGACGGCAAGGCUCGGCACCUCGAUGUCGGCUCAUCGCAUCCUGGGGCUGUAUAAGGUCCCAAGGGUUGGGCUGUUCGCCCAUUAAAGCGGUACGUGAGCUGGGUUCAGACCGUCGUGAGACAGGUCGGUCUCUAUCCACUGUGGGCGUAAGGGAUUUGAGGGGAGCUGCUCCUAGUACGAGAGGACCGGAGUGGACAGACCUCUGGUGUGCCAGUUGUCGUGCCAACGGCAUCGCUGGGUAGCCACGUCUGGCAGAGAUAACCGCUGAAAGCAUCUAAGUGGGAAACUCGCCCCAAGAUAAGAUCCCUCAUCCCGUUAAGGGAGUAAGGCCGCAGGUAGACUACCUGCUUGAUAGGCAGCAAGUGUAAGCGCAGCAAUGCGUUCAGCUAAGCUGUACUAAUGGCCGAGGGCUUAACCUG